GCCUUGGGCCCUCAACUAAGCUAGCUUUUCCGGGUCCCCUGCUCAGCCCCUGCCCAGCCCCUGCCCCUGCAUUCCACUGUUUGCCACCUCACCUGUCUAUGUGAGAACUGAGCCCACCCCCACAUGCUAGUGAGGCCCCUGUGGAAGGGCUGCAGGGCACCACCACUCACUCUUCUUUGGCUUCCUGAAGCUGAGGGGAUGUCGCUGGUGCCUGGACUAACUUCACUUCCCCUUGGAUGGUAGCUGUCUUGAGCCCUGCCUGGUUAAUAUCUAGAAUAUGGAAGGCAGAAGACUGGAGGGAUAUAGUGUCUGAUAGAGUGGAGGCAGAAAUUGAGAAAGGUCAAAGGUCACACAGGAUGCUGAACCCAUCUGUCCAGGGGGAACUGCAGGCCACCAAGGACUUGACAAAACUGUCAAUUUGCGGAUGAGAAGUUGAUUCCAGAACAGCAAAGGUGACUUGAGAAACAGGAGGGCAGGAGGAUCCUUCCAAGAGAAGCUAAUCAUUUUCAGUGAUUCAAGGACAAUGCUAAAAUGUAUCACAUCAAAAGACAAAACCAAACCAAAUGGAAAGAAAUAAACAGAGAAAACCAAGAUGCUAUGAAGAAUCACAGCAGAAGGCUUUUGGGCAAAGAAAGAAAGAAAGAAAGAAAGAGAAAGUAAAGAAAGAAAGAAACAGUAUUCUUUCUAGAAAGCAAGAAAGUAUUUCCAGAAAACAGAGCCCAAAUAUCAAGCUAUAGUGCUUUUCCAGAAUAAAUUGGCAUGUGUGUGCAUGGGCAUGCAGGACACCCUUGCAUGCCUUUCCUCG